rnacentral:tRNA from 1 species
GGGUCGAUUUUCCAGCGGCCGAAGAUCCGUGCCUUGGGGGCACGAGACCGAGGUUCGAAUCCUCGUCAACCCA